UGCCUUACACAUGCAAGUCGAACGGUAACAGGUCUUCGGAUGCUGACGAGUGGCGAACGGGUGAGUAAUACAUCGGAACGUGCCCGAUCGUGGGGGAUAACGCAGCGAAAGCUGUGCUAAUACCGCAUACGAUCUACGGAUGAAAGCAGGGGACCGCAAGGCCUUGCGCGAACGGAGCGGCCGAUGGCAGAUUAGGUAGUUGGUGGGAUAAAAGCUUACCAAGCCGACGAUCUGUAGCUGGUCUGAGAGGAUGAUCAGCCACAUUGGGACUGAGACACGGCCCGAACUCCUACGGGAGGCAGCAGUGGGGAAUAUUGGACAAUGGGCGCAAGCCUGAUCCAGCCAUGCCGCGUGAGUGAUGAAGGCCUUCGGGUUGUAAAACUCUGUCCUUAGGGAAGAAAAAAAUGACGGUACCUAUGGAGGAAGCCCCGGCUA
rnacentral:rRNA from 1 species